rnacentral:lncRNA from 1 species
GGACUUUUCCUUUUCUAUUAAGAUCGAUAGAUUCCAUCUAAGUGUAUCCUACUCCAAACAGCGAACCUGAACCUACUGAAGCCCACAUACACAGCAAGGAUCCGAAUGGCUACGGAUUAAAAGAACGUGUAGUCAAACCCGUAGCCUUACUGCGAAUAGCUAAAGACAUCGCAGGUCAAAGAACCACUCACACCACUGCAGCAUCGAGAAGACCACUGACGAGUGAGUAGACAUCCAUAUGGUUCUCAUUUUGGUCACGUUCAGUGCAAGUUAUUCUCUAACAACCACCCACACCUUCACCCCAGUGUCUCUAUACUGUAGAUCCAAGACUCAUCUAUCCUCAAGGGAGGUGAACUGUGCACCGAUCUCAAAUGGAUUGAUCACUGUCCUCCAUGACGAUCCUUUGAUCGGAAGUAUUUAGAAAUUAACUACUAAUUAAUGUAUGUCUCAAAUUCUUAACUCUUUAAGAACAUACAAAAAUCAUCUUUAUUAAUUUUUAGGAUAAAUCAUAGAUACAUAUAUAUGAUUGGAAUAAAAAAAUCUUUUAUUGAUAAUAAAAAGAUUACAAGUACAAGUUUAAGCUCUAGAAAUACAUAAUGUGUCAGCC